ACCUUCCUUCUUACUGUUGCGACGAAUGGACAGACGCUUUCCUGUAAAAGUAACCAUUCCUCCACCGGAACAACUCGGUGAGGUACUCCUAUUACUGCCCGCCGCCACAGUUUGCGGUGACAUGUGCAAGACCUUACAACCUCAGCGUUAUUGUGACUUGUGGUAGUUUAUUCAGAGGACUGCUGUGUACAAGUACUGAGUUUACAGAAAGCUUAGAAGGCAAGGUCCCUACCAUUGUGCACUUUAUACUUCAGGCUCAGGAAAAGUCCAAAGGAUCGAUCUUGCUUACAACUGGUUUUAACAAUGAGAACAUAGAUGAAUUCGGUAAAGCUGCAAAAUACAAAAUUAAUAUACCAAAGCAGUUGCAUUUCUAUACAGUAACAAUGAAUUAUCAUAGAAAUUAAGAAAACAAUCUCAUUUUUAAUAACAUCAAAAAUAGUAAACUUCUUAGGAAUAAAUUUAACCAAGUAGGUGAAAGAACACUGAAAACUAUAAAACAUUAAUGAAAGAAAUUGAACAAGAUGCAAAGAUUGGAAGAGUUAGUAUCGUGAAAAUGUUUAUACUACACAGAGCCAUCUAUAGAUUCAAUGCAAUCCCUAUCAAAAUUCUAAUGGAAUUUUCACAGAAAUAGAAAAAAACUAUUAUAAUAUUUGUUUGGAACCACAAAAGACCCUAAAUAGCCAAAACAAUUUGGAGAAAGAACAAAGCUGGAGAUAUUAUUCUCCCUGAUUUCAAACUAUAUUACAAAGCUAUAGCAAUCAAAACGGUGUGGUAUUUCACAAAAACAGGUACAUAGAUCAAUAGAACUAAAUAGAGAGUCCAGAAAUAAACCCAUGAAUAAAUGGUUAAGUAAUUUUUGACAAAAGAGCCAAGAAUAUAUAAUGGAGAAAAGAUACUCUCUUCAGUAAAUAGUACUGGGAAAAAUGGAUAUCCACAUGUGAAAAAAUGAAACUGGACUCCUUUCUUACACUAUACACAAACAUGUCAAAAUGGAUUCAAAACUAAUGUAAGACCUGAAACCACAAAACUCCUAGAAGAAAACAUAGGGGGUAAGAACCUUCACAUUGUCCUUGACAGUGAUUUCUUUUGGGGGGGGAGGGGGGAUUUGACACCAAGAGCAAAGGCAACAAAAGCAAUAAUAAACAAGUGGACUACAUCAAACUAAAAGCUUCAGCACAGCAAAGAAACCAUCAACAAACUGAAAUGGCAACCUAUGAAAUGGGAGAAAAUAUUUGCAAACCACUUAUCCAAUAAGGAGUUACUAUCCAAAAUACGUAAGGAACUCUUACAACUCAAGAGCCCACCCUAAAGAAAACAUUAAAAAAUGAGUAAAGAACCUGAAUAGACAUUUUUUCCAAAGAAGACAUACAAAUGGCCAACAGAUACAUGAAAAAGUUCUCACUAAUCAUCAGAGAAGUACAAUCAAAACCAAAAUGAGAUAUUGCCUCACACCUGUUAUAAUAACUAUUGUCAAAAAGAAGAGACAUCAAAUGCUAGAAUAUGGAGAAAAAGGAGCCCUCGUACACUGUUGAUGGGAAUGUAAACUGGUGGAGGUUCUUCAGGAAAUUAAAAAUGGACCUACCAUAUGAAAAUGAAAUCAUCUCAAGGAGAUAUCUGUAACCCUAUGUUCAUUGCAGGAUUAUUCGCAAUAGCCAAGGUAUGGAAAUGACCUAAGUGACCAAUGAAUAAAUAAAAUGUGAUUAUCCAUAUAAAGAUAUAGCUGUAUAAUGGAUUAUUAUUCAGUCAUAAAAAGAAGGUAAUUCUGCCAUUUGUAACAACAUGGAUGAACCCAGAGGGCCUUAUGCUGAAUUAUAUAAGCCAGACAGGAAAAGACAAAUACUGCCUGCAUGGUAUCACUUAGAUGUGGAAUCUGAAAAAAAGUCAAACUAGUAGAAACAGAGUAGAGUGGUGAUUGCCAGGAUCUUAGGGUAGGGGAAUUAGGGAGAAGUUGGUAAAAGGGUACAAACUUUCAGUUACAAAAUGAAUAAAGAAUCUAAUGAUAACAUGGUAACUAUAGUUUAAAAUACUGUAUUGUAUAAUUGAAAUUAACUAAGAAAAUAGAACUUAAGUGUUCUCACAAGACAAAAAUGGGUGUGUUAACUGGAUGGUGGGAAUCUUUUCAUAAUGUAUAUGUAUAUCAAGUAUCAUGUAUACCUUAUAUUGCAAUUUCAUUUGUCAAUUAUAUAAGUAAAACUGGAAAAAUGAAAAAAAUGAAAAACGAAAAAUUGGGAGAUGGAAAACUUUUACAGUCCUCAUAGACUCCUAGUCUCUCCCUCUGCCCCCACAAGAUGUCACUGUUAAAACACAGAAGAUAUGCUAUAUCAAGACUUCACAAGAUGGAGCUAUUAAAACGUAAAUGUUCGGGCAGUCUGCAGUUACAAAGUUACAAACGCCAAGGGCUAUUUUUUCUAGAAUACACCUGUGAUGCUAGAGUGAAAUUUAUAAAGACCGAGUUAGAAACUUAUCCUCCCAACUAGUGAUGUUAAGCCCAGAUAAACAAUCCAGGCUCUUCUCUCUUCUUUCCUUUCUCCCUCAACAGCCCUGGUGUAUUUUGCUGCCAUCUCAGGUCAGGGCCACUGCAGUGCAUCAGAGGCGAUGUAGUAACACUGACCCUCCUGAAGAAAGUGGUCAGGGUCUCAAUAACUUUCUUCCCAGAAAGCUCCUUAGUCUUUGGGAAAAUUUGCUGACUAUUCUCCCAUCACUUGUGUACCAAAGAUCAUGGUGAAGAGAGCAGUGUUGACAGCUCCCAAAGUGUCCGGCUACACCUUUCCCCUGCUUGCCUUAACAUUUACCUAAUUAAAAGGAAACCUCCUUCAAUAACAAAGGGUUUUGGGGGGACCUCCACUAACAGAGAUGCAGCUGCCAGUUUUAAAUGGUAGUAAUUCUCAUUUCACUUACCCAUGAGUCAACUUCUUACCAAUACUGAUCACUUUUUAUAGUAUAACUUUACUACUAUGUUCUGCUAAAACUUCCUAUUGCCAUAGGAGUGAUUUUCAUGCUUUAUAUUGUUGCGUAUGUGGGCUGCUUCCAUUUUCUCAAUAUUACAACAUGGCCAAGAUGGUAUUAAAUCGUUAUUCACAUUCAUAUUUCCUUAGAAUAAAUUUCAAAAGUGAAUGUUAAAGGGCAUGAGCAUUUUUUAAAGUUUUCAAUCUGACAAAAUUGUACCUCAUCUGAAAUAGAUGUAUGACUUUACAUUUCUAUCAACAACAUAAAAAGUGCUAAAACCUUAA